UACAGAGGGUGCAAGCGUUAAUCGGAGUUACUGGGCGUAAAGGGCGCGUAGGCGGUCUUAUAAGUGAGAUGUGAAAUCCCUGGGCUUAACCUAGGAACUGCAUCUUAGACUGUUUGACUGGAGUAUUGUAGAGGGUAGUGGAAUUUCCGGUGUAGCGGUGAAAUGCGUAGAGAUCGGAAGGAACACCAGUGGCGAAGGCGGCUACCUGGACAAAUACUGACGCUGAGGCGCGAGAGCGUGGGGAGCAAACAGG
rnacentral:rRNA from 1 species